CGUGGUCAUCUGACCAAGAUUAAGAAGGGUUAGGGUAGUUGAAAUAGAGUUGAAAAUUUUAGUUUGAAUCAAUGUCAGUAUAGGUAUUUUGAAGAGAAAGAAUCUUGUGGUAACUGAAUAGAAUUCCCUAGAACCUUCUAGAGGAGAGUCUAAUUAGAAUUUCAGUAGUUUUAGGCGUAGUAAUUUGGCCAACAAAGCAUAAAUAAAAGGACCAAUGGGCUAAAAUCUGAAAAAUAGAAGAAGGACUUAGAGUGUAACUGAAAUGGAAAGGGUUGCCCUAAGUUUGCCUGUAAAAAGGGCAUAUCCUUGCCUUGAAAAAGGGGGAGUGGGAGAAGCUUUUAGAAGGUUUUGGAAUUUGAAAAAUCCC
rnacentral:lncRNA from 1 species